UGGGCGUCGAGCGGCGGACGGGUGAGUAAUGCCUAGGAAAUUGCCUUGAUGUGGGGAUAACCAUUGGAAACGAUGGCUAAUACCGCAUAAUGCCUACGGGCCAAGAGGGGGACCUUCGGGCCUCUCGCGUCAAGAUAUGCCUAGGUGGGAUUAGCUAGUUGGUGAGGUAAUGGCUCACCAAGGCGACGAUCCCUAGCUGGUCUGAGAGGAUGAUCAGCCACACUGGAACUGAGACACGGUCCAGACUCCGUACGGGAGGCAGCAGUGGGGAAUAUUGCACAAUGGGCGAAAGCCUGAUGCAGCCAUGCCGCGCGUAUGAAGAAGGCCUUCGGGUUGUAAAGUACUUUCAGUUGUGAGGAAGGGGGUAACGUUAAUAGCGUUAUCUCUUGACGUUAGCAACAGAAGAAGCACCGGCUAACUCCGUGCCAGCAGCCGCGGUAAUACGGAGGGUGCGAGCGUUAAUCGGAAUUACUGGGCGUAAAGCGCAUGCAGGUGGUUCAUUAAGUCAGAUGUGAAAGCCCGGGGCUCAACCUCGGAACUGCAUUUGAAACUGGUGAACUAGAGUGCUGUAGAGGGGGGUAGAAUUUCAGUGUAGCGGUGAAAUGCGUAGAGAUCUGAAGGAAUACCAGUGGCGAAGGCGGCCCCCUGGACAGACACUGACACUCAGAUUGCGAAAAGCGUGGGGGAGCAAAACAGGAUUUAGAUACCCUGGGUAGUCCACGCCGUUAAACGAUGGUCUACUUGGAGGGUUGGUGGCCCUUGAGCCGUGGCUUUUGGGAGGCUAACGCGUUAAGUAGACCGCCUGGGGGAGUACGGUUCGCAAGAUUAAAAACUCAAAUGAAUUGACGGGGGGGCCA
rnacentral:rRNA from 1 species